rnacentral:pre_miRNA from 1 species
AAAGUUUUGGAGUCACCUGCAUGCCAUGCGCAAGCAGGUGACUCCAAAACUUUUG